GCUUUUGUGGUGUAACUGGAAAAACACUCGGCGCGUAUUCGAGAGGCCCAGGUUCAAAUCCUGGCGGGGGCA
rnacentral:tRNA from 1 species